rnacentral:snRNA from 1 species
AGCUUUGAGCAAUGGGAGUAUCAUAGCCAAUGAGGUUUAUCCAAGGCGUGAUUAUUGCUAAUUGAAAACUUUUCCAAAAUU